rnacentral:misc_RNA from 1 species
UUUUCUCUCUUACAAUCCGAAUGUUUAUGCGGCAGGAACUAUGCACGUGGUAUGAUUGUGCUGUUCAUUUUGAUGUCCACGUUGAUGAGAAAAUAUAUAUCAGGUGUAUGCAGAAUAAAAACAUCCAAUAAAGCUGUUCAGGUUUGCGAGACACAGCUGAAUGCAGUGAAUUCUGUACUAAAAGAAAACCACAAUCUUCUAGAUUCUCAUUGUGAUCCAAGACUCUGCUUCCAAAGAUCAUAUACAAGUAACAGAAGACCUGAAGACAAUGAGUGGAGCAGUCUGCAAUUUAAUAACAAACUGAAAUCACACCACAAAGCAAAGAAAUUUGGAGCCAUGUCUGGUGAAGACAAAAGUAACUUUGAUGCUGAAGCAUUUAAAGAAGCCAACCCUAAAGUGUCAGUUGGAUGGGCAGCAUCUGCCAUGAGGAGUGGAGAUGAGAAAAAAAUACAACUCAUGAAGGCCAAAUCUGAUCACUUGCAGGAAAUGUGGCAGGAGAGGAAAGAUAAAGUGCCUGUGAUGAAUCAGUUCAGAGACUAUUUGAAAGAAAGCGAUAAUCCAUAUUCAUUUGUUGUUUUUCUGUUGAACGAUUCACAUGAUCUUCAUGUUCACAAAACCACGACCUAUUCCUAUGCAGUUUGUAAAGAGUUCUGUGGGUGGCUGUUUUCCUCUCAGUGCAACGUUAAAAAUAAGAACCAGGUCCUGACGCCAGAAAUAAAGCUUGAUGCUUUAAGCGUUACAAUGAGAUAUCACACAGUAAUGUUUCAACUGGUUCUUAAAAUAUAUGAGCUCAGACACCAAGGUAACGGUUACAUGUUGCCAGAAAUAAAGCGAUUUUUGGAGAAGAAAAAAUACAAUGAGUGUGCAUUGUUGGCCGGACAUCUAGGACUGCAAGACCAUUUCACUAUUGAUGAGAUAGCAGUUCCUCUGAUCCUACAGAACAAACUGAACCUGUUGGAGACCUACCUCAGGGGGAACUCUGGUCAGCAGAUGUUGGUGGUACAGUUCCUAGACCGUAUGUGUGAGAAAGGCUACAACAUAAACAACCUGGUCAGCUCCAUGUCUGUUCCUGAUGUCAAAAUGAGUCACUUGCAGAAAAAAUCCAUCAGCAAACUGGCCACUAGGCUGGCCAAACUGUAUGAGAUUCCUAAUGAUCUUAUUCCCAAUAUUGUGACAGCCAGGGGCCUUGGGGCAUUGAGAUUUCUUCUGUACAAGCGAUACAUUGAGAACAGCAUGGCCGCUGGUAGCUGGGAGGAUAUGGUGGAAAAUGCAGUGGGGGACAACGAGACUCUACAACUGGAGCUGGUAGAACAGCUGCAGUGUUACAACGAUGCCAAGUCUGCCGCGAAGUGGGCCAACUUCUACAAGAUACCAGACGAAAAAUUGUCACAUCCUGUCAGAGAGGAGAGGAAACGGUUGGCCGAGGGUCCGACCUCAGCCCCUGCUGCUGUGGGCGGGGAGGAGAGUUGGGAGGAUGAGCUGAUGUCUGUGGAUGGAAUGGAUGCGUAUUACUACAAACUGAAUCUAGACCCUUCCAGCAUUCAGCUGGUGGACACCAAGGAGAAAUACCACGAGUGUAUCUCCAGGCUUUCUCGGCCAGGUUUAACAAUUGGGGUUGAUUCAGAAUGGAAACCAUCUUUUGGAAAUACUACACAAAGGAUAGCAUUAAUGCAGUUUGCUACCUCGGAUCAGAUAUUUCUGUUGGACAUGAUUACAUUGCACUCCCUACUUCACAAGAGUGAUUGGUUCUUGCUCGCCAAUGCUCUGUUUUGUAAUGAGGAAAUGAUUAAACUAGGGUAUGGAUUUGAUUCUGAUCUUAAGAUGGUUGUGAAGACUUAUCCUUUCCUGAAAGAACCACUAACACAUCUAAAGAGAACAGUGGACUUAGAGAAACUAGCAGCAAAGGUGAUUGACAAGGCCAUCAAUCUGAUGCCAGACACCGUGGGCGACUCGGACGACGAGGGACUCGAGGACAAGGACAGCGGGGUCAACGUCAAGUUCCAGGCAGUCGAGCAGCGGGGGCUCAGUGAGCUCGUCAGACAGUGCUUUGGUAAACCCCUGAACAAAGGCGAGCAGAUGUCAGACUGGGAGAGACGUCCUCUACGUAACACACAGAUCCAGUAUGCAGCUCUGGAUGCUUUUGUCUUGCUGGAAGUAUAUGAAAGAUUAAAAGAAACUGCUAAGAGGGAGAAGAUGGAGAUAGAUGUGGAACCUCCAGUCACUGUGAAGUGGAGCAAGGACAGCAAGCUGGACAGGAUGAAGGCCAAGGCAAAGAACUAUCGGCCACCAAAGUCAACAUUUACACCGAAACCAGAGACGACUGCUUACCUAGGGUCAGAGAUGGAGCCUGGACAGUUUAGGGUGGUAGUGGACUCAAUGUUACAGGGCCUGGGGCGGCAGCUCAGGAAUUGUGGGGUGGACGUCCAAAUACUGAAUUAUGAUGAGGACCAUCAGAAAGCAGUUCAGGCUGCUAUGCAGGAGAAUAGAAUUGUGUUAUCAUCAGGGACCCCUUAUCAAACUAUUUGUUCCAAAAUAGGAGCAGAGAGGUGCUAUAAUGUUGACAAUACUUUGCCAGCUAAAGAACAGAUUGUAGGUGUUCUACAACAUUUUAAAGUGAAAGUAAAAAAGGAGGACAUAUUAAGCCGAUGCCAAUAGGUUUGCAACAGUGACAACUUUCUACAGAUACCAAGCAAGGAUGUACUCAGAAUGUCAGAGAAAGCGGAAAAUAUGAAGCGUUCGCAUGGAGCUCCACCUAGGGACAGUUGGGAUGAACACAUGUUGACUACUUACCAGAUUAAUUCUAGGAACACAUCUUUUGUGAAGACAGGAGUCGAUAUUAGGAUUGACACUAUACCUCAGAAAAUAUUUAGCAUUGUGGAUUCCUUCUACAUUUGUGUCAAAUGUGGAAAGAUUUUCUGGGAGGGGCCACACAUGGCUUCAGCAUGUGAACAGUUUGCUCAUGUAUUGAACCUGUAGUCUUUAAUGUUUACUGGAGCAUGUGGAAUUCUACAUUAGUCAUGUAUAUUACAUUGGGUAUUGGACAAAACAUUUUAAUCAGUAAAUUGUUUUGAUUGGUCAAUGAAUUUACUUUUUAGUUUACAUGUACCAUACUGAGAAACAUUUACAUGAACAUGAACAGUAUUUUGAAUUUAAGAUUCACUUAUACUUUUCAGGAUAGAAACAGAUUACUUAUUUUAAUGAAUUUUAUUAAAUGAUAAACAAUUAUUAAACAAUUUGAUCAAAUGUAGAAAGCAGAAUUAAAUUUUUUUCUUCUUUUCUCCUCAGGAACAUUUUUUCUACCAUAUGGACACUGAAAAAUAGAAAAAUAAAACUUGAUAACAUUG